rnacentral:lncRNA from 1 species
GAGGAAGGUUGCUCUCUAGAUGUGGGGACUGACAGCCUCCUCCUUUCCAGCAGUGAGAGGGCCCAGCAGAGUCUGGUGUCAGGCUAGUGUUGCUCCGUGGCCCUGAGACCUUUCAGAUCCCGGGCAAAAAGGCUGAAGGGAAUGAUCUGUACCUUUAAAAAGAGAAAAGGGGAGAAAAGAUGGAUUUUCUGAAUCACAUUCUGUGAGGAAUUCAAAUCUCUUGGAAGAACAGGAGAGAUACCCUUUUCAUCAAGUGGCCUGAUGAGGGAAGGUCACCUGGCGUGGAGCAGAAGAACUAUGAUGGCCUGUGGAGGCCCGCAGUGUGCUUCGGGAGGGCUGCAUGCUGCAGCCUUUCCCUCUGCUUCCAUAUGACUCUUCCAGGAGAGAUGGGUAGCUGCUGACAUCUAAAAUUCUCAAAGUACAGAGGAGGAGUUCCUGGCCUCCACUUCCAUUCAAAAACCAUCCUGUGCAGAGGCCACUUCUUAUCUAGGACAUGCCAAUCUGCUGAAAGCAGGGAAAACUUGGUUUCAUAGCACGGUGAAGCAAAUCACCUCCAUGAGUAUCCAAUAUUCUCCAUAAACAGGUUUGAAAAGAGCUCCACAGGAUUUGUAGUUUCUCAUUUGCCUGCUUUAUGGUAGGGACUGGAUUUUAUCCAUCUGAGUGUUCCCCAGCACUAAAGCAGGGUCCCAAGUGUACUUGUUGCUCAGUAGUGGUUUUCUGAAUAGGCUUAACUGAGCAGGAGGUAGGAGGACUGGCUCGCUCCUCACAAGGCCAUGACUUUUGUUCUAAUAAAGUCUCUUCCAAUUAAAUGAGUCUACCUGAUCCCUGUCAUUCUGUCAAGCAUGUGGCAGAUAUUGAAUGCCUUUACCCAUUCCAACUCCUUCCCUCCUUAAACAAGAAAGGGGUCAGAGUCAACAUCUUACCUUACAUUACCCGGGUGUUGCCAAUGACUCUC